CGGACCUCUUGGUUUACAUUUUAAAACUUCGGGACCAACUGUAGGGGGAUUCUUAAGAAAGUCCUGUCCCUGGCCUGGACCACGGAAAACCGAUUGGAAUGCUUCUCCCCUGUCUUAAACGUUUCCCCGUUUGGGCCCAGUAGAGACGCUGUGCGAUGCACACCCCUUCCUUCCCAGCCUUCAUCUCGGAUGGACCCUGCUGUGCUGUUGAUGCCUAAGAACCGGAUUGCCAUCUAUGAACUCCUUUUUAAGGAAGGAGUGCCGGUUGCCAAGAAAGAUGACCAUAUGCCCAAACACCCCGAGCUGGCAGUAUCUCCCAGAUGACCUCCACCUACCCCCGGAGAAAGUGCCUGCACCCUGCCAGGUAGCCAUCCUCAACUGGCAGGCCUUGGCCCAAAGAUCUAGAGAGUGACCCACCUGCAAGAUUCGCAAGAGGAGGGGACAGACCGAGACACAUACAGAAGAAUU